GAUGAACGCUGGCGGCGUGCCUAAUACAUGCAAGUCGAGCGAACAGACGAGGAGCUUGCUCCUCUGACGUUAGCGGCGGACGGGUGAGUAACACGUGGAUAACCUACCUAUCAGACUGGGAUAACUUCGGGAAACCGGAGCUAAUACCGGAUAAUAUAUUGAACCGCAUGGUUCACUAGUGAAAGACGGUUUUGCUGUCACUUAUAGAUGGAUCCGCGCCGCAUUAGCUAGUUGGUAAGGUAACGGCUUACCAAGGCAACGAUGCGUAGCCGACCUGAGAGGGUGAUCGGCCACACUGGAACUGAGACACGGUCCAGACUCCUACGGGAGGCAGCAGUAGGGAAUCUUCCGCAAUGGGCGAAAGCCUGACGGAGCAACGCCGCGUGAGUGAUGAAGGUCUUCGGAUCGUAAAACUCUGUUAUUAGGGAAGAACAAAUGUGUAAGUAACUAUGCACGUCUUGACGGUACCUAAUCAGAAAGCCACGGCUAACUACGUG
rnacentral:rRNA from 1 species